GAGGGUAUAGUUCACUGGCAGAGUACAGUCCUUGGCACGCAUGAGGUCCUGGGUUCAAUCCCCAGUACCUCCA
rnacentral:tRNA from 1 species